rnacentral:lncRNA from 1 species
GGGACCGGUCUCCCCGACCUGGGACCGGUCUCUCAUCCUGCCCCGAAAAUCCAACGUUCGUGAACCGGUCUCUCCCCGCAUGGGACCGGUCUCUCCCCGCGUAAUCGCGCUCGGGGACCGGUCUCACCCGCCAGGGACCGGUUGCCUCAAGUCCACCGCAACAUUGUUCUGAGGGGACCGGUCUCUCCUAUCAGGGACCGGUCCCCGAGAGUAACAACUCUCAGGACUUGCCAAAACUCUAGAGAUCGAACUUUUAGGCCGAAAUACCAUCUACGACCUUCCACCAAGUGUAGAAAAGUUUG